GUGCCAGCCGCCGCGGUAAUACGGAGGGUGCAAGCGUUAAUCGGAAUUACUGGGCGUAAAGCGCACGCAGGCGGUCUGUUAAGUCAGAUGUGAAAUCCCCGGGCUCAACCCGGGAACUGCAUUUGAAACUGGCAGGCUGGAGUCUUGUAGAGGGGGGUAGAAUUCCAGGUGUAGCGGUGAAAUGCGUAGAGAUCUGGAGGAAUACCGGUGGCGAAGGCGGCCCCCUGGACAAAGACUGACGCUCAGGUGCGAAAGCGUGGGGAGCAAACAGGAUUAGAUACCCUGUAGUCC
rnacentral:rRNA from 1 species